UGGGGAAUAUUGCACAAUGGGCGCAAGCCUGAUGCAGCAACGCCGCGUGAACGAUGAAGGUCUUCGGAUCGUAAAGUUCUGUUGCAGGGGAAGAUAAUGACGGUACCCUGUGAGGAAGCCCCGGCUAACUACGUGCCAGCAGCCGCGGUAAUACGUAGGGGGCUAGCGUUAUCCGGAUUUACUGGGCGUAAAGGGUGAGUAGGUGGUCUUUCAAGUCGGUGGUUAAAGGCUACGGCUCAACCGUAGUUAGCCUCCGAAACUGGAAGACUUGAGUGCAGGAGAGGAAAGUGGAAUUCCCAGUGUAGCGGUGAAAUGCGUAGAUAUUGGGAGGAACACCAGUAGCGAAGGCGGCUUUCUGGACUGCAACUGACACUGAGGCACGAAAGCGUGGGUAGCAAACAGG
rnacentral:rRNA from 1 species